GCCCGAGUGGCGGAAUGGUAGACGCAGAGGACUUAAAAUCCUCCGGGAGCGAUCCUGUGCCGGUUCGAGUCCGGCCUCGGGCA
rnacentral:tRNA from 1 species